rnacentral:misc_RNA from 1 species
GAUGAAGAACGUAGCGAAUUGCGAUAUGUAAUGUGAAUUGCAGAAUUCAGUGAAUCAUCGAGUCUUUGAACGCACAUUGCGCCCCCUGGUAUUCCGGGGGGCAUGCCUGUCCGAGCGUCAUUGCUGCCCUCAAGCACGGCUUGUGUGUUGGGCCUCCGUCCUCCUCCCGGGGGACGGGCCCGAAAGGCAGCGGCGGCACCGCGUCCGGUCCUCGAGCGUAUGGGGCUUCGUCACCCGCUCUUGUAGGCCCGGCCGGCGCUUGCCGACACAUCAAUCUUUUUUCCAGGUUGACCUCGGAUCAGGUAGGGAUACCCGCUGAACUUAAGCAUAUCAAUAAGCGGAGA